CAAAAAACAAACAUGGUUUUACAGAAUGUUUUGCACUUUCCAUUUGAAAAGAGCUUUGUUUUCUUAAAAAUGAAAAUUUAUUUGGUCGAAAUCAAAGUGAUUUUUUUCGUUUGAAAGUUUUUUUUUCAUGUUCCCAUUGUAAAACUAAAAGUUCUUCCAUUCAACCUUAAAAUAGUGGAACUGUCAAAUCACUCAACGAUAAACUAAGCAAAAAGAAAACAAAAAGAAAGACAAAUGAAGAUAAAAUUGUUUCCGUUACGCAUCGGCACUAUAGCAUGGUAAAAAUAUAGGUGGUAAAAAAUAAAUUACUUAUUUAAAACAUUACUUGAAUGCUUGGCCUUAUCUGUAUAAUUAGUUUGUUUACACAUGAAUAUUAAAAUUAACGCACGUACAACUUUUACAAAUAAUUUUUAAACAGUAAUUAUAAUUAUAGUUAAACAUAUUAUAAAAAACUUUUUUGUCCAUUCAUCUGAUAAAUAUUCUCAUAGUGCCUCUCAACCUCUCUAUCAUCUUCGAGCUGUCAACACCUCUCCCCUCACCAGUUCAAACGAUCACAACUCACAGCGGACGAUAGCAAAACUGUUGCUUUUAAAGCUUAUGCGGGAAAGUGUUAUUCGGAUGUUCUUCAAAUUUAAUGCCUUGAAUUCGUGCAGUCCAAAUCACUAUACAAAUAUCGGAGGACAGGAAAUGUAUGGCGCAAUGCUCCCAGACGACUUCGAUUUGCAACCAGACCCCAACCAGGGACCGGAUCUCGUUCUGAGGCAAUCACAGUGGCCACCGUGUUGAAAUGCUGCAACCUACACCAUCUAUAAAAACUGCUUGAAAUCAUGAAAUAAAAAUAAAAGUAUCAUUGCG